GAUCUGUUAGUAUCAGUUUGGUAGACGGGUGCUUACGACGCAAGGCGAUUUCUUACGUGACGUCAUAGCACAGCAAGAGAGCGACAUGAUCAACUGGAAGGUAAGCGGCGAAUUGGAUGUCCUGGAUAAUUUCCCUGUGCUGCUUUAUAUUCUAGCAGCAAAAACUCUUAUCCUUUGCUUGGCAUUUGCUGGUACAAAGAUUUAUCAAAGCAAAAAGGCAGAGGCAGCACUGAAGCGGCAGCAGGAACUGAAGAGGAAAGCAGAAUCCAACCAAACCGAGGAGUGCAAGAAAGACGACUAAAAACAGGGUGUGAAAACAUUCCCCUGGCUAACUCGCUAGACGUUUUCUGUUGUACCUGCUGUUCCUUGGAUCGACAAGAUUGAAAGCUGAAAGAUGACCAGUUUCGGGAAAUUUCGCCUGACCCUGAUGACAUCACUUCCAGUCUUGACCCUGAUGGCUUCAAUUCUGGUCCCGAGGACAUCACUUCCGGUUCUGGUCCAAAGCUUGAUGACAUCACUUUCACCUUGCUUUAAAACCACCAUCUUUACUUCAUCCAGUUAGUUCUGUUUUGGACUCCAAUCUGCACACUACUGUACAAUUAAUUUACCAAUUUUGCAUCCGGGUUCAAGUACAUGGGAGGCUGCCCCAUUCCUG